UCGGGUGAGCCAACGGAUAGGCACUCGGUCUCCAAAACCGAGCAAAACCGAGUUCGACUCUCGGCACCCGGGC
rnacentral:tRNA from 1 species